AAAAAAAAAAAGGUCAGCUUCCAAUAUGCAAUAAAUGGAUGCGUACUAAAUUCAGAAGAAGCACAUUCAUGUGAGAUAAUUAAUUAUUCCAUCUGAAAUUCUGGAUAACUUCCAAGUACUAUAGUUGUAGAAAAGGAUUGUUUCAAUUUGCUGCCACAUGUGGAUAUAUAGUACAAAAGCUAAUUAUUACGAAGAAUCACAAAGUUCAAUGGAAUUACCAACAGUAAGGAACUAUUUUCUCACUGGGGAAAACAGAAGUAAAAAGUGAAAAGAGUGAAAGUGCCAUAUGCGGAGUACCAUAAACUAGUUAUGGAUAGUUCUUGGGCAUGGCUAUACUUCAAAAUCUUUACUACAAUCUCGCCCCUAAUGCUUUCCACAUAAUAUACUUAUUCAUGUAAAUACUGUUGCUAAAUCAUUGUUCGUUCCAGCAACGGAGAAACAAGAUUGAUAAGUUGGUGCUUAACAAAAUUGUAGCAUUUGGUGAGAAAUAUCAAAUUCUCAGGUAUUCUGGCAACCGACAAAGAGUUCAGUACCGACCCCUACCUCUAAAAUGGCUCUACAAAUGAGUCAGGCAAAAAGCGACUAAACUAUAUAUUUAACAUGGAUGUCAAGUUAGAGAAAAAUAUUAAAGAGUGAUAGAAGAGUGGUAAAUUAAGCACAUUGGUUACUGUAGGAAAAUUAAGGUUUAUGUACCAGGCUUCCAUCAGAAAUCACUGUUUCAGUACCUAAAAGACAAGAAGUAUUAAGUUUACCUUCACCAACAAAAAGAGCAUGCUUCCACAUGGCUCUUUUUUAGAAGUAGCAUCCAUGAGAAGUGGAGACAAUUUGGAU
rnacentral:lncRNA from 1 species